rnacentral:rRNA from 1 species
GUAACAAGGUUUCCGUAGGUGAACCUGCGGAAGGAUCAUUAGUGAAAUUAGGGUGUCCAAUUUAACUUGGAACCCAACCUCUCACUUUCUAACCCUGUGCAUCUGUUUCUGGGAAGUAGCUCUUUGGAGUGAAACCCAUUCACUUAUAAACACAAAGUCUAUGAAUGUAUAAAACUUAUAACAAAACAAAACUUUCAACAACGGAUCUCUUGGCUCUCGCAUCGAUGAAGAACGCAGCGAAAUGCGAUAAGUAAUGUGAAUUGCAGAAUUCAGUGAAUCAUCGAAUCUUUGAACGCACCUUGCGCUCCUUGGUAUUCCGAGGAGCAUGCCUGUUUGAGUGUCAUGAAAUCUUCAACCCACCUCUUUCUUAGUGAAUCUGGUGGUGUUUGGAUUCUGAGCGUUGCUGGCUUCGGUCAAGCUCGUUCGUAAUGCAUUAGCAUCCGCAAUACAACUUCGGAUUGACUUGGCGUAAUAGACUAUUCGCUGAGGAUUCUGGCCUUGUGCUGGAGCCGGGUUGGAUUAAAGGAAGCUUCUAGUCCUAAAGUCUACUUUUGAUUAGAUCUCAAAUCAGGUAGG